rnacentral:rRNA from 1 species
CACCUCUAGUGUACCUGUUGUGGCGCCAGCUGCAUCGCAGGGUAGCUAUGUGCGGAUGGGAUAAGCGCUGAAAGCAUAUAAGCGCGAAGCCCACCCCAAGAUGAGAUUUCUCUUAAGGGUCGUUCAAGACUAGGACGUUGAUAGGCUAUAGGUGUAAAGGCAGCAAUGUCAUAGCCAAGUAGUACUAAUUACCCGUGAUCUUUAGCUC